UACAGAGGGGGCAAGCGUUGUUCGGAAUUACUGGGCGUAAAGGGCGCGUAGGCGGCCUGCUAAGUCGAACGUGAAAUCCCCGGGCUCAACCCGGGAACUGCGUCCGAUACUGGCUGGCUUGAAUCCGGGAGAGGGAUGCGGAAUUCCAGGUGUAGCGGUGAAAUGCGUAGAUAUCUGGAGGAACACCGGUGGCGAAGGCGGCAUCCUGGACCGGUAUUGACGCUGAUGCGCGAAAGCCAGGGGAGCAAACGGG
rnacentral:rRNA from 1 species